CCUACGGGUGGCAGCAGUAGGGAAUAUUGCACAAUGGAGGAAACUCUGAUGCAGCGACGCCGCGUGAGUGACGAAGGCCUUCGGGUUGUAAAGCUCUGUUCUUAGGGAAAAAGCAAGUGAUUGUACCUAAGGAGAAAGGACCGGCUAACUUCGUGCCAGCAGCCGCGGUAAGACGAGGGGUCCAAGCGUUGUUCGGAAUCAUUGGGCGUAAAGCGGGUGUAGGUGGCUUUGUAAGUCAGGAGUGAAAGCCCCGGGCUUAACUCGGGAAGUGCUUUUGAUACUGCAAAGCUUGAAUGUGGGAGAGGAUCGUGGAAUUCCAGGUGUAGUGGUGAAAUACGUAGAUAUCUGGAGGAACACCGGUGGCGAAGGCGGCGGUCUGGCCCAACAUUGACACUGAGACCCGAAAGCGUGGGGAUCAAACAGGAUUAGAUACCCGAGUAGUC
rnacentral:rRNA from 1 species